AUUGAACGCUGGCGGCAUGCCUUACACAUGCAAGUCGAACGGUAACAGGUCUUCGGAUGCUGACGAGUGGCGAACGGGGGAGUAAUACAUCGGAACGUGCCCGAUCGUGGGGGAUAACGGAGCGAAAGCUUUGCUAAUACCGCAUACGAUCUACGGAUGAAAGCAGGGGACCGCAAGGCCUUGCGCGGACGGAGCGGCCGAUGGCGGAUUAGGUGGUUGGUGGGAAAAAAGCUUACCAAGCCGAGGAUCUGUAGCUGGUCUGAGAGGACGACCAGCCACACUGGGACUGCGACACGGCCCAGACUCCUACGGGAGGCAGCAGUGGGGAAUUUUGGACAAUGGGCGAAAGCCUGAUCCAGCCAUGCCGCGUGCAGGAUGAAGGCCUUCGGGUUGUAAACUGCUUUUGUACGGAACGAAAAGACUCUUUCUAAUAAAGAGGGUCCAUGACGGUACCGUAAGAAUAAGCACCGGCUAACUACGUG
rnacentral:rRNA from 1 species